AGGCGGUUUGUCGCGUCUGCCGUGAAAGUCCGGGGCUUAACUCCGGAUCUGCGGUGGGUACGGGCAGACUAGAGUGCAGUAGGGGAGACUGGAAUUCCUGGUGUAGCGGUGAAAUGCGCAGAUAUCAGGAGGAACACCGAUGGCGAAGGCAGGUCUCUGGGCUGUAACUGACGCUGAGGAGCGAAAGCAUGGGGAGCGAACAGGAUUAGAUACCCUGGUAGUCCAUGCCGUAAACGUUGGGCACUAGGUGUGGGGGACAUUCCACGUUUUCCGCGCCGUAGCUAACGCAUUAAGUGCCCCGCCUGGGGAGUACGGCCGCAAGGCUAAAACUCAAAGGAAUUGACGGGGGCCCGCACAAGCGGCGGAGCGUGCGGAUUAAUUCGAUGCAACGCGAAGAACCUUACCAAGGCUUGACAUGAACCGGAAUGAUGCAGAGAUGUGUCAGCCACUUGUGGCCGGUUUACAGGUGGUGCAUGGUUGUCGUCAGCUCGUGUCGUGAGAUGUUGGGUUAAGUCCCGCAACGAGCGCAACCCUCGUUCCAUGUUGCCAGCGGGUUAUGCCGGGGACUCAUGGGAGACUGCCGGGGUCAACUCGGAGGAAGGUGGGGACGACGUCAAAUCAUCAUGCCCCUUAUGUCUUGGGCUUCACGCAUGCUACAAUGGCCGGUACAAAGGGUUGCGAUACUGUGAGGUGGAGCUAAUCCCAAAAAGCCGGUCUCAGUUCGGAUUGAGGUCUGCAACUCGACCUCAUGAAGUUGGAGUCGCUAGUAAU
rnacentral:rRNA from 1 species